rnacentral:rRNA from 1 species
CCUANGGGUGGCUGCAGUCGAGAAUCUUCGGCAAUGGGCGCAAGCCUGACCGAGCGACGCCGCGUGCGGGAUGAAGGCCUUCGGGUUGUAAACCGCUGUCAGAGGGAAGGAAAUGCAGGCGGGCUAUCCCGUCGGUUUGACCGAUCCUCAGAGGAAGUACGGGCUAAGUUCGUGCCAGCAGCCGCGGUAAGACGAACCGUACAAACGUUAUUCGGAAUCACUGGGCUUAAAGCGUGCGUAGGCGGCCCCGUAAGUUGGGUGUGAAAUCCCUCGGCUCAACCGAGGAAUUGCGCUCAAUACUGCUGGGCUUGAGGGAGAUAGAGGUGAGCGGAACUGAUGGUGGAGCGGUGAAAUGCGUUGAUAUCAUCAGGAACACCGGAGGCGAAGGCGGCUCACUGGGUCUCUUCUGACGCUCAGGCACGAAAGCUAGGGGAGCGAACGGGAUUAGAUACCCGGNUANUC